GGGUCGAUGGCGUAGCUGGUUAUCGCAUCUGUCUAACAUAGUCUCCUGACUAAAUUUGUCGGUCACAGAAGGUCCUCAGUUCGAACCUGGGUCGACUCA